rnacentral:rRNA from 1 species
GGGAAUAUUGGACAAUGGGCGAAAGCCUGAUCCAGCAAUGCCGCGUGAAUGAUGAAGGCCUUAGGGUUGUAAAGUUCUUUUAGUAGGGAAGAUAAUGACGGUACCUGCAGAAAAAGCCCCGGCUAACUCCGUGCCAGCAGCCGCGGUAAGACGGAGGGGGCUAGCGUUGUUCGGAAUUACUGGGCGUAAAGGGCGCGUAGGCGGCUUGAUAAGUUGGGAGUGAAAGCCCGGGGCUUAACCUCGGAAUAGCUUUCAAAACUAUCAGGCUAGAGUGUAGUAGGGGAUGAUGGAAUUCCUAGUGUAGAGGUGGAAUUCUUAGAUAUUAGGAGGAACACCGGUGGCGAAGGCGGUCAUCUGGACUACAACUGACGCUGAGGCGCGAAAGCGUGGGGAGCAAA